rnacentral:rRNA from 1 species
GAUGAACGCUAGCGGCAGGCUUAAUACAUGCAAGUCGAGGGGCAGCACGGGUAGCAAUACCUGGUGGCGACCGGCAAACGGGUGCGGAACACGUACGCAACUUUCCUUCAAGUGAGGAAUAGCCCAGGGAAACUUGGAUUAAUACCUCGUAAUAUUAUGAAGUGGCAUCACUUUAUAAUUAUAGCUCCGGCGCUUGAAGAUGGGCGUGCGCCUGAUUAGGUAGUUGGCGGGGUAACGGCCCACCAAGCCUACGAUCAGUAACUGGUGUGAGAGCACGACCAGUCACACGGGCACUGAGACACGGGCCCGACUCCUACGGGAGGCAGCAGUAAGGAAUAUUGGGCAAUGGACGCAAGUCUGACCCAGCCAUGCCGCGUGGAGGAUGAAGGUCCUCUGGAUUGUAAACUUCUUUUAUCUGGGAAGAAAUCCAUAUUUUCUAAUGUGGUUGACGGUACCAGAUGAAUAAGCACCGGCUAACUCCGUGCCAGCAGCCGCGGUAAUACGGAGGGUGCAAGCGUUAUCCGGAUUCACUGGGUUUAAAGGGUGCGUAGGUGGGCAGGUAAGUCAGUGGUGAAAUCUCCGGGCUUAACUCGGAAACUGCCGUUGAUACUAUCUGUCUUGAAUAUCGUGGAGGUUAGCGG